AGGACGAACGCUUGCGACGUGCCUAAGAAAUGCAAGUCGAGCGAGGUAGCAAUACCUAGCGGCGAACGGUCGCGUAACACGUAAGCAACCUGCCCCCAAGACCGGGACAACGUUUCGAAAGGAGCGCUAAUACCGGAUGUGCCCACUAUUUGACAUCAUUUGGUGAGUAAAUCGAGCAAUCGGCUUAGGGAGGGGCUUGCGGCCUAUCAGCUAGAUGGUGGGGUAACGGCCUACCAUGGCUACGACGGGUAGCUGGUCUGAGAGGAUGGUCAGCCGGAUUGGGACUGAGAUACGGCCCAGACUCCUACGGGGGGCAGCAAUUAGGAAUCUUGCGCAAUGGGCGAAAGCCUGACGCAGCGACGUCGCGUGGGGGAGGAAGGCUUUCGGGUUGUAAACCCCUUUAUCGAGGAAGAAACAAUGACGGUACUCGAUGAAUAAGCCCCGGCUAACUCCGUGCCAGCAGCCGC
rnacentral:rRNA from 1 species